UACGAAGGGGGCUAGCGUUGUUCGGAAUCACUGGGCGUAAAGCGCACGUAGGCGGAUGUGCCAGUCAGGGGUGAAAUCCCUCGGCUCAACCGAGGAACUGCAUCCGAUACUGGCGGGCUUGAAUCCGGGAGAGGGAUGUGGAAUUCCAGGUGUAGCGGUGAAAUGCGUAGAUAUCUGGAGGAACACCGGUGGCGAAGGCGGCAUCCUGGACCGGUAUUGACGCUGAGGCGCGAAAGCUAGGGGAGCAAACGGG
rnacentral:rRNA from 1 species